AGGAAUAUCACGCAGUUUGGUAGCAUGUUUGUUUUGGAUAUAAAAUAUCACGGGUUCAAAUCAUGUCAUCCCUA
rnacentral:tRNA from 1 species